UACGGAGGAUGCGAGCGUUAUCCGGAUUUAUUGGGUUUAAAGGGUGCGUAGGCGGACUGUCAAGUCAGCGGUAAAAUUGAGAGGCUCAACCUCUUCCCGCCGUUGAAACUGGUGGUCUUGAGUGGAUGAGAAGUACGCGGAAUGCGUGGUGUAGCGGUGAAAUCCAUAGAUAUCACGCAGAACUCCGAUUGCGAAGGCAGCGUACCGGCAUCCAACUGACGCUGAGGCACGAAAGCGUGGGGAUCAAACAGG
rnacentral:rRNA from 1 species